AACACUGAGCCUUAUCUUCACGAAUUUGCGGAUGUUGACAGAAGUGAAGAAUUUUGACCGAUUUCAAGUCUUCACCUCAAGCACAGGAGCCCUACACCAAACGAAUGCUGGAGAGGUAACGUUAAUCCAGCAUGCUCCAGUGCCAAAUGAACAGGGAGGCCUGCACUCUCUUCUUCAAAGCAAAGCAGCAGUGUUACCUGAGGUACACAGGAUCAUUUAAAGUCCAGGAGACUGCUUGUCAAAGUUUGUGUCAGUCACUUGGUGGAGAAGGGGGAAUUUUACCCAUCAAGUGCUGAAAAGCUUGUUUUUGUCACUACUUUCACAUCUUUGCCGGGUCGGAUU